GGGUCAGAAGCACAGAGGUUGUGCGAUCGGCUGUUAACCGAUUGGUCGAAGGUUCGAAUCCUUCCUGUCCUGCAA
rnacentral:tRNA from 1 species